rnacentral:rRNA from 1 species
UGGGGAAUAUUGGGCAAUGGAGGAAACUCUGACCCAGCGACGCCGCGUGAGGGAUGAAGGCCUUCGGGUUGUAAACCUCUUUCAGUAGGGAAGAAGCGAAAGUGACGGUACCUACAGAAGAAGCACCGGCUAACUAU